GCUCUGAAUGUGGAGGUGCAAACAGUUAAACUUAAAACUCAUUCGAAGUCGAAGUCAUGUUGAUGUUUUACAUUUAAGGACUACAGAGAGCCAGGUAAAGUAUUAUUCAUCAUCUGUAUUUAAUUUAAAUAUGUGGAAUUAAUGUCUAAAUACUGUAUUUGGGUAUAAAACAAAUCAGCACAUAUUUAAUUGACAAAGGUUUGGAGGCAAUGUGGUAAGAAUCCAUGCAUGUGGUUGUUCUACUCUAUAUUACAAUGCACAUUACACAUACAUCCAUAUAAAUUGGUUACAGAUACAUUGAACCACCAACUAAAAACAUUUAGCCAAAAGCAAACUCAUGUUCCCUCUACACCAGGGGUGUCACACUCAAGUUUCAGAGAGGGCCAAAAUUAAGAAAUGGUACUGAGUGCCAAACAGUCUCAUAGUGCUGUCUUAAUAUUAUUAUUAUGGACACGCCAGCUCCACUUUUGAGGCAAACUGGAUAUAAUUGUACCACGGCCAGAUGUAGCCCACAGAGUUUGAGUUUGACAUGCCUGCUCUACACCAUAUGUGAUCAUUUUAAAUAUAUUUGUUUUAACUUAAGAGACUCGUAGUGAAUUUGUGUUUUAAUACAGGUAAAUGCAGAAUUCACCCUCAUCACCACAGUCCCCCUGUUCUCAACCUUUAUGUCCCGACUGGAUCAUUACUAUAGCCAGCUAUUGAGGGUAUUCAAAAAGAAGGGGGGAACAGCAAGACGUGAUAUCGACGUAAUCAUUGCAGAAAUGGACAUGAAUCCCAGUGUUGAAGUACGACAGACAUGCAUCCUAAAGGCGUUGUGCGUCUACUUAAAUGAAAAGCCUGACAGCCUUAUUAAGGAGUACUGGUGUCAUAGAUGCAUAAUUAAUAAUGGGUCUCUUUCUUUGUCAUAGGCUACUGAGGAUAUUGGUAUUGAUGCAAUGACAGAAAUGGAGAGACUGGCUUUGGGUGUCUACAUUGUUCGAUAUGAUGGAGCAGAUGCUUCAGAUCCACCUGAGGAUGUUGGCGUCGUCAUUGAAGGCUGCACAGUGCUGCGAGAUCUGAGAGAGGUUGCAAAUGGAUGUGCAGUCCUGUUUGGCUUGAUCUAGUGUUUAAACUUGAGCUAUCCCAAGGAGCUGCGAUACACUUUCGAAUUUCUUCAGAAAGUGUCUAUGGAAUUGGAUGGGAACAAGCUCUCCACUAAAGUGCAGGUCCUCAAAAACAAACUGCAUGAGUAAAAUCACCUGCACCAGACAAGACUGGACCUGGCUUUGGACACUUUAAUUGUGUUGACUGUUACUUUAUUUUUGGACUGCUGCUAGACAAAAUAAAGCUGUGAUCAAUGAUGGUUUGUAAUAAGCA
ensembl:lncRNA